rnacentral:tRNA from 1 species
GCCCGGGUAGCUCAAUCGGUAGAGCGUGUGGCUCUUAGUUUCAAGUGACCUCAAGGUCGCGGGUUCGAGCCCCGCCUCGGGCU